UUUAUAAGUGUAAGUAUAUGUUAGAAUGGUUAAUAGAUUAAUUUAAAGAGAGUGGAUAUAAAAAACUUUAUUUUGAAUUUUAUUUAUUUUGAUCAUAGCAUUUGAAAAAAUUAUAAGACCUAAAUAUUUAAUAUGAAGUCUUGAGAAGAGAUUAGAGCCUAAAGAAGAAAUUUUUAAAUAGUAGGAGGCUUAUUGGGAAGGAUGAAAGUAAGGUAUGGUUGGAUGAAGGCAAGGAAUGGAGAUCUUCAUUCCUAUUGGUCAAAUGCCAUGCCCAAUGGACUUCAAGGAGGCUGCCCGAGGUCUUAUUAGGGAUUAGGGUUUUUUUUCCAAGUCAUUCAAAUUUUAGAGGCUAGUUUCAUCAAGUUUAGGUUUUUGGGUAUAGAUUGGAUGCAAAUUUUGUAUGAUUUAGAGUUUUUAU
rnacentral:lncRNA from 1 species